rnacentral:misc_RNA from 1 species
UCUCAGUUCUCUCGUCACUAACCAACACAUCAACUAUGUCUGAGGAAAUCAAGAAGAUCGAGGAGGUCGCCGAGCAAGACAAGGCUCCAAAGGUUCCAACCACCGAACCACCAGUCGAUGUUCCAGCACCAGUUACUGAAGAAGCACCAAAAGUAGAAGAAGCUGUCGCUGAGAUUGCUGCCCCAGCUGCUGCAGAAGGAGAAACUGCCACCGCUGCUGCUGCAGCUCCAGAAGAGAAAAAGAAGUCUGGAGGUGUUGCUCGGCGUUUCACUUUCAACAAGAGAUGGGGAAAGCACCGUGAUGCGGAAGCAUCCACUCCAAAAGAGCCAGAAGCACCAAAGGAUCCAAAGGAAGACGUUCUCGGAUGGAUUGCUCAACAGAUUCCACAGGCUGUUCACAAGGCCAACUACCAGGUUAUCGACUGGGUUCAGAAGACAGCUAUCCCAGAGGAAGGAGAGCGAAAGACCAUUCCGGGAAAAGAUCAGGCCACGACUCGCAACCAAUUCAUUGGAUUCUUCAAAGAUGGAGAUGUCCUCGCCAAGCUGGCCAACGCUCUUGAGCCAGGAGCAGUUGAAGUCGCUGCCGCUGAGGAAAACGCCGAUGCUGCAGCCCAGAAAGAAGUUCAGAAGAAGAACAUUGAUGCCUUCGGAGCUUGGGCUCAAAAGACUCUUGGAACCGAGGCUGCUCCAGUAACCAACGAAGAUCUUCUUGAAAAGGGAAAAGCUGGAUACACAGCUGUUUUCCAAACUCUCUGGCAACUCGGAGUUCAGGCCAAGGAAAAGUUUGACAAGGAAGGAUUCAAUGUUGACACCAUUGUUCAGCUUGCAAACUCUGUCGUCAAGAGCGGAUUGUUGACCACAAUCCUAGGAUUCUUCAGAAGAAAUCGGCAAGCUGCUGCUGCUGUAGAAGAGCCAAAGGAUGAGACUGCAGCUGCGGAGGGAGCCGGAGAAGCAAAAGAAGAGGGAGCUACCGGAGAAGUUGCAGAUACCGCUGAUGAGCCAGUUGCAGUGAAACAAGAGACUAGUGCACCGGCUGCCGUCGCUGCAAAUUAGAAAUCUGGAAGAAGUAUUUAUCUUUCUGUAAUUUCUAGUCCGCAUCUCUCUUUUCCACUAUCGUGUUCCGGUAUCUCAACUGUUUCCUCCGCCUCUUCAUUCCAAAUAUUCAAUGUCUCUUCCUCGAAACGAUGAUGAUAGCUCAAAGAAGAAAUGUGCUCUCAAAACACUAUCUUCAAUCAAAGCAAUCAUCUUCAUUUCGAUGUCGGCCGGGCAGCAGCAAUCAAUUUUUAAAAAAUCUUUUCUCUAAAAGAAAAUCUAAUUUUGUUCAUCGUUUUACCAUUCUUCAUUUCAACCAAUUUUCUCACCUAAUAAGACUUUAAUAAUCGAUAAUUGAUCUAUAAAAGUCUAUUUUUCACCAAUCUCUCGAUUCAUCAAACUUUUUUUGUAUUUUGAUAACUAUUGUCUCAGCUUUCUCUUUUUGUGCUUUUCAUCCUCCAAAAGUGUGAAGCUCAUUAAAUGAGCCUUUCCACUUGAUUGAUUCGAGAUUUUUCCUGUUUUUCCAAAGUUCAAUCUCUAUUCUCUCGCUUUUUUCAACUUCAGUUUUUUCUCAUUUUUCGAAAUAAAUAAUGGAACCAACCAA